GAAUUUGCAUAAACAAGAGCAAUUGAUUCUGAAAUGAAGAAGUUAUCAGGACUUUUCAAUAGGAAUCUAAUUGCUUGUCUUCACACCUUCUGUCACCAGCUGAAUGUUCCAGAUUAUCAUGCUCUUGUAUUCCUGGAGUAGAGGGAACACAGUGUGGCUGCUGCUAAAUUUGGUGUGUUUGGGAACAAAAUCAAGACAACAGAGAUACAAGGGAUGCAAGCCUGGUGCCAUCUGCCUGAAGAGCUCCCCAGUAGGGCAAGGGGCCGGAGGACCACCCCUCCCUGUCCUCCUGGGCCCGGUGCUUCCUGAACAAGACUCCUGGGCACCAGGACCCUCUGCAAAAGGUCUUGGGCAUCUAUGGUGAGAGCGAUGGCCAGAAAGCCUCGGACCACCCAGAGCCAGGUACCACCAGAGGCAGCUCAGAGGGGAGGGCGAUGAGGC
rnacentral:lncRNA from 1 species